UUACGCCAGGUUCCAACCCUACGGGCAACAGAGGUAUGGCUCCAGGGCUGCCCCACGACUGCCUUCCACUCAUCAGGAUGUGGAGCCAAAAAACUCCAAGGGCCGGGGCGGCCGCAGCAGGCAGCCCCAGUAAACUUACAGGUGCCUUCAGAAGUUACGUGCAGAGCAAGCACGAGGCUGGAUGGUGGUUCCUCUGUGGCCGUCCCAGUUUUGGAUGGGCAUGCUGCUCCAGUUGCUAAUAGACUUCCCACGUUUGAUAACGAACAGGAGGAAUGUUCUAACACACCCGUCCACAACAGAUCCACACCCCAUCAUGUCCCACACGAGGCUCAUGGCAUGCCUUCUGUCAGGGAAAACUUGCAGAAACGAGGAGUUUCGCCGGCGGCUGCGGACAUCAUACUUGCCUCCUGGAAACCAGGUACUGAGAGGCAAUACCGCCCACAUGUCCAGAGGUGGUCGUUGUUUUGUGGUAGACGGAAUGUCGAUCCCACUUCUCCAACUGUAGGUCACAUUGUAAAUUUUUUGACGGAAACCUUUGACAGGGGUGUGGGUUAUGAGUGUGUGAACACUGCGAGGGGUGCCCUGUCUUCUCUCGGCAUUGUGGUGGACGGAUGCAGGGCAGGAAAUCACCCUUUGGUCAUCCGAUUCAUGAGAGGGGUUUUCAAUCUUAGAACUCCUCAGCCCAGGUACACUGACACUUGGGACGUCCAACCUGUCUUAGAGCAAUUAAGGUCCAUGUUCCCCUUACAUGCAUUAACCCUUAAAGAAUUAACGCUAAAAUUGGUUAUGAUGAUGGACUUAACUCAAGCUGCCAGAAUUCAAACUUUACAACUACUGUUAAUCAGAGACAUGCUCAUUAAUGAACACUCCAUUUCAGUACAGUUGGGGGCACUCUUAAACAAUCCAGACCAAAUUUUAACAUCAACAGGGUCACAUUCCAUCGUUACCCUAAGGAUCCACGAUUAUGUGUCUGUAGCACUCUCCUGAGGUACAUUGAUGUGACUAAAGAGCUUAGACAGGAUGAGAUGCACACUGAUGCCAGGCUCCUCAUUAGCUUCAUAAAACCCCACAAAUCAGUUUCCAAAGACACUAUUGCCCGUUGGGUCAGGACCAUUCUCCGCAUGUCCGGCAUAGACAUCUCAAAGUUUUCCGCUGGUAGUGUGCGGCCAGCAGCAGCUUCAAAAGCUGGAGUGGAGGCUGUCCCUGUCGCAUGCAUUAUGGCUAAGGCGGGCUGGUCUAGGGAAUCUACCUUUGCAAAAUAUUAUAAUAAGAACAUUGUGGCUGCUUCUGACCUCUUUCAGGAUGCAGUGCUAGAAUAAGAUAUGAUUUGGGUUUGUUGCUGCACUCCAGUGUUGCAGUACACGGAUAUUUUAAGUAUUUAGUAUCUAGUACCUUAGGUUUACCUUAUGAUGUGAACUGUUACCAUAUUUCAACAUUGUUUGUAGAUUGGAUUAAGUUGGAUGCAAUGUACCUUAUUUUAUACACCAAUUGUAUGAUUGUCUCAUGUACAAGAUCCUUCCAUGGAAUAAUAGUUAUAGUACUGUUUCU